AUACUUACCUGCAGGGGAGAUACCAUGAUCACGAAGGUGGUUUUCCUAGGGUGAGGGUUAUCCAUUGCAUUCUGGAUGUGAUGACCCCUACAAUUUCUCCAAAUGUGGCAAAUUCGACUGUAUAAUGUCUGGUAGUGGGGGACUUCAUUCUUACUUUCCCCUU
ensembl:snRNA U1 U1 spliceosomal RNA